rnacentral:rRNA from 1 species
ACUUAAAUUGAAGAGUUUGAUCAUGGCUCAGAUUGAACGCUGGCGGCAGGCCUAACACAUGCAAGUCGAGCGGUAGCACAGAGAGCUUGCUCUCGGGUGACGAGCGGCGGACGGGUGAGUAAUGUCUGGGAAACUGCCUGAUGGAGGGGGAUAACUACUGGAAACGGUAGCUAAUACUGCAUAACGUCGCAAGACCAAAGUGGGGGACCUUCGGGCCUCAUGCCAUCAGAUGUGCCCAGAUGGGAUUAGCUGGUAGGUGGGGUAACGGCUCACCUAGGCGACGAUCCCUAGCUGGUCUGAGAGGAUGACCAGCCACACUGGAACUGAGACACGGUCCAGACUCCUACGGGAGGCAGCAGUGGGGAAUAUUGCACAAUGGGCGCAAGCCUGAUGCAGCCAUGCCGCGUGUGUGAAGAAGGCCUUCGGGUUGUAAAGCACUUUCAGCGGGGAGGAAGGCGGUGAGGUUAAUAACCUUGUCGAUUGACGUUA